CUUAGAGUUUGAUCCUGGCUCAGGAUCUAUGCUGGCGGUAUGCUUAACACAUGCAAGUCGAACGGUGUCUUCGGACAUAGUGGCGGACGGGUGAGUAACGCGUGAGAAUCUAGCUUCAGGUCUGGGACAACCACUGGAAACGGUGGCUAAUACCGGAUGUGCCGGAAGGUGAAAGGCUUGCUGCCUGAAGAUGAGCUCGCGUCCGAUUAGCUAGUAGGUGGGGUAAGAGCCUACCUAGGCGACGAUCGGUAGCUGGUCUGAGAGGAUGACCAGCCACACUGGGACUGAGACACGGCCCAGACUCCUACGGGAGGCAGCAGUGGGGAAUUUUCCGCAAUGGGCGAAAGCCUGACGGAGCAAUACCGCGUGAGGGAGGAAGGCUCUUGGGUUGUAAACCUCUUUUCUCAGGGAAGAACACAAUGACGGUACCUGAGGAAUCAGCAUCGGCUAACUCCGUGCCAGCAGCCGCGGUAAUACGGAGGAUGCAAGCGUUAUCCGGAAUGAUUGGGCGUAAAGCGUCCGCAGGUGGCUGUGUAAGUCUGCUGUCAAAGAGCAAAGCUCAACUUUGUAAAGGCAGUGGAAACUACACGGCUAGAGUGCGUUCGGGGCAGAGGGAAUUCCUGGUGUAGCGGUGAAAUGCGUAGAGAUCAGGAAGAACACCGGUGGCGAAGGCGCUCUGCUAGGCCGCAACUGACACUGAGGGACGAAAGCUAGGGGAGCGAAUGGGAUUAGAUACCCCAGUAGUCCUAGCUGUAAACGAUGGAU
rnacentral:rRNA from 1 species